UUAUCGUUUAUUUGAUAGUACCUUACUACUUGGAUAACCGUGGUAAUUCUAGAGCUAAUACAUGCUGAAAACCCCGACUUCGGGAGGGGUGUAUUUAUUAGAUAAAAAACCAACGCCCUUCGGGGCUUCUUGGUGAUUCAUGAUAACUUCACGGAUCGCAUGGCCUUGCGCCGGCGACGGUUCAUUCAAAUUUCUGCCCUAUCAACUUUCGAUGGUAAGGUAUUGGCUUACCAUGGUUUCAACGGGUAACGGGGAAUUAGGGUUCGAUUCCGGAGAGGGAGCCUGAGAAACGGCUACCACAUCCAAGGAAGGCAGCAGGCGCGCAAAUUACCCAAUCCCGACACGGGGAGGUAGUGACAAUAAAUACUGAUACAGGGCUCUUUUGGGUCUUGUAAUUGGAAUGAGUACAAUUUAAACCUCUUAACGAGGAACAAUUGGAGGGCAAGUCUGGUGCCAGCAGCCGCGGUAAUUCCAGCUCCAAUAGCGUAUAUUAAAGUUGUUGCAGUUAAAAAGCUCGUAGUUGAAACUUGGGCCUGGCUGGCAGGUCCGCCUCACCGCGUGUACUUGUCCGGCCGGGCCUUUCCUUCUGGAGAACCUCAUGCCCUUCACUGGGUGUGUUGGGGAACCAGGACUUUUACUUUGAAAAAAUUAGAGUGUUCAAAGCAGGCCUUUGCUCGAAUACGUUAGCAUGGAAUAAUAGAAUAGGACGUGCGGUCCUAUUUUGUUGGUUUCUAGGACCGCCGUAAUGAUUAAUAGGGACAGUCGGGGGCAUCAGUAUUCAAUUGUCAGAGGUGAAAUUCUUGGAUUUAUUGAAGACUAACUACUGCGAAAGCAUUUGCCAAGGAUGUUUUCAUUAAUCAGUGAACGAAAGUUAGGGGAUCGAAGACGAUCAGAUACCGUCGUAGUCUUAACCGUAAACUAUGCCGACUAGGGAUCGGGCGAUGUUCUUUUUCUGACUCGCUCGGCACCUUACGAGAAAUCAAAGUUUUUGGGUUCUGGGGGGAGUAUGGUCGCAAGGCUGAAACUUAAAGAAAUUGACGGAAGGGCACCACCAGGCGUGGAGCCUGCGGCUUAAUUUGACUCAACACGGGGAAACUCACCAGGUCCAGAUGAAAUAAGGAUUGACAGAUUGAGAGCUCUUUCUUGAUUUUUCAGGUGGUGGUGCAUGGCCGUUCUUAGUUGGUGGAGUGAUUUGUCUGCUUAAUUGCGAUAACGAACGAGACCUUAACCUGCUAAAUAGCCAGGCUAGCUUUGGCUGGUCGCCGGCUUCUUAGAGGGACUAUCGGCUCAAGCCGAUGGAAGUUUGAGGCAAUAACAGGUCUGUGAUGCCCUUAGAUGUUCUGGGCCGCACGCGCGCUACACUGACAGAGCCAACGAGUUAUUCACCUUGGCCGGAAGGUCUGGGUAAUCUUGUUAAACUCUGUCGUGCUGGGGAUAGAGCAUUGCAAUUAUUGCUCUUCAACGAGGAAUGCCUAGUAAGCGCAUGUCAUCAGCAUGCGUUGAUUACGUCCCUGCCCUUUGUACACACCGCCCGUCGCUACUACCGAUUGAAUGGCUCAGUGAGGCCUCCGGACUGGCUCGGAGAGGUUGGCAACGACCACUCCGAGCCGGAAAGCUCGUCAAACUCGGUCAUUUAGAGGAAGUAAAAGUCGUAACAAGGUUUCCGUAGGUGAACCUGCGGAAGGAUCAUUACCUAGAGUUGCGGGCUUUGCCUGCCAUCUCUUACCCAUGUCUUUUGAGUACCUUCGUUUCCUCGGCGGGUUCGCCCGCCGAUUGGACAAAACUUAAACCCUUUGUAAUUGAAAUCAGCGUCUGAAAAAAACAUAAUAGUUACAACUUUCAACAACGGAUCUCUUGGUUCUGGCAUCGAUGAAGAACGCAGCGAAAUGCGAUAAGUAGUGUGAAUUGCAGAAUUCAGUGAAUCAUCGAAUCUUUGAACGCACAUUGCGCCCCUUGGUAUUCCAUGGGGCAUGCCUGUUCGAGCGUCAUUUGUACCUUCAAGCUUUGCUUGGUGUUGGGUGUUUGUCUCGCCUCUGCGCGCAGACUCGCCUCAAAACGAUUGGCAGCCGGCGUAUUGAUUUCGGAGCGCAGUACAUCUCGCGCUUUGCACUCACAACGACGACGUCCAAAAAGUACAUUUUUACACUCUUGACCUCGGAUCAGGUAGGGAUACCCGCUGAACUUAAGCAUAUCAAUAAGCGGAGGAAAAGAAACCAACAGGGAUUGCCCUAGUAACGGCGAGUGAAGCGGCAACAGCUCAAAUUUGAAAUCUGGCGUCUUCGGCGUCCGAGUUGUAAUUUGCAGAGGGCGCUUUGGCAUUGGCAGCGGUCCAAGUUCCUUGGAACAGGACGUCACAGAGGGUGAGAAUCCCGUACGUGGUCGCUAGCCUUUACCGUGUAAAGCCCCUUCGACGAGUCGAGUUGUUUGGGAAUGCAGCUCUAAAUGGGAGGUAAAUUUCUUCUAAAGCUAAAUACUGGCCAGAGACCGAUAGCGCACAAGUAGAGUGAUCGAAAGAUGAAAAGCACUUUGGAAAGAGAGUUAAAAAGCACGUGAAAUUGUUGAAAGGGAAGCGCUUGCAGCCAGACUUGCCUGUAGUUGCUCAUCCGGGUUUCUACCCGGUGCACUCUUCUAUAGGCAGGCCAGCAUCAGUUUGGGCGGUUGGAUAAAGGUCUCUGUCAUGUACCUCCUUUCGGGGAGAUCUUAUAGGGGAGACGACAUGCAACCAGCCUGGACUGAGGUCCGCGCAUCUGCUAGGAUGCUGGCGUAAUGGCUGUAAGCGGCCCGUCUUGAAACACGGACCAAGGAGUCUAACAUCUAUGCGAGUGUUUGGGUGUCAAGCCCGAACGCGUAAUGAAAGUGAACGGAGGUGGGAACCUUUCGGGGUGCACCAUCGACCGAUCCUGAUGUCUUCGGAUGGAUUUGAGUAAGAGCAUAGCUGUUGGGACCCGAAAGAUGGUGAACUAUGCUUGAAUAGGGUGAAGCCAGAGGAAACUCUGGUGGAGGCUCGCAGCGGUUCUGACGUGCAAAUCGAUCGUCAAAUUU
rnacentral:rRNA from 1 species